rnacentral:rRNA from 1 species
CGUGUAGGCGGCUGUGUAAGUCUGAUGUGAAAGCCCGGGGCUCAACCCUGGAAGUGCAUUGGAUACUGCACGGCUUGAGUACUGGGAGAGGAUGGGGGAAUUCCCGGUGUAGAGGUGAAAUUCGUAGAGAUCGGGAGGAAUACCAGUGGCGAAGGCGCCCAUCUGGACGGAUACUGACGCUGAGACGCGAAAGCGUGGGGAGCAAACA